rnacentral:rRNA from 1 species
UACGGGGGGGGGCAAGCGUUAUUCUACGUUACUGGGUGUAAAAAAGUAUUCAGACGGUUUAAUAAGUUUCUUUUGAAAUCCUAGAAUUCAAUUCUAGAAAUAAUUGUAAAUACUGUUAAACUAGAGUUUAUUAGGAGGUGGUUGUAUGUUUAGUGUAGAGUUAGAAUUCUUCAAUAUUAAAAAGACAUUCACUUGGUGAAGACUACCAUCAUAGUAUAACUGACGUUGAGAUACAAAAGUGUGAGGAGCGAACAGG